CGAAAGCCUGACGGAGCAAUACCGCGUGAGGGAAGACGGCCUAUGGGUUGUAAACCUCUUUUUUCAGGGAGGAAUAAUUGACGUGUACCUGAAGAAUAAGCAUCGGCUAACUCCGUGCCAGCAGCCGCGGUAAGACGGAGGAUGCAAGUGUUAUCCGGAAUCACUGGGCGUAAAGCGUCUGUAGGUUGUUGAACAAGUCAACUGUUAAAUCUUGAGGCUCAACUUCAAAAUCGCAGUCGAAACUGUUUGACUAGAGUAUAGUAGGGGUAAAGGGAAUUUCCAGUGGAGCGGUGAAAUGCGUAGAUAUUGGAAAGAACACCGAUGGCGAAGGCACUUUACUGGGCUAUUACUGACACUCAGAGACGAAAGCUAGGGUAGCA
rnacentral:rRNA from 1 species